rnacentral:rRNA from 1 species
CUACGGGUUGCUGCAGUGGGGAAUAUUGGACAAUGGGGGAAACCCUGAUCCAGCAAUGCCGCGUGUGUGAAGAAGGCCUGCGGGUUGUAAAGCACUUUCGGUUGGGAGGACUGCUUCUAGCACUAAUAUUGUUGGAAGUUGACGUUACCUUCAGAAGAAGCACCGGCUAACUCCGUGCCAGCAGCCGCGGUAAUACGGAGGGUGCACGCGUUAAUCGGAAUUACUGGGCGUAAAGCGCGCGUAGGCGGCUAGAUAAGUCGGGUGUGAAAGCCCCGGGCUUAACCUGGGAACUGCAUCCGAUACUGUCUAGAUUGAGUACAGGAGAGGAGAGUGGAAUUCCACAUGUAGCGGUGAAAUGCGUAGAUAUGUGGAGGAACACCAAUGGCGAAGGCAGCUCUCUGGCCUGAUACUGACGCUGAGGUGCGAAAGCGUGGGGAGCAAACAGGAUUAGUACCCUCGUAGUC